CACGUAGGGUGCGAGCGUUGUCCGGAAUUAUUGGGCGUAAAGAGCUCGUAGGCGGUGUGUCGCGUCGGCCGUGAAAACCUGCAGCUUAACUGUGGGCUUGCGGUCGAUACGGGCAUCACUGGAGUUCGGCAGGGGAGACUGGAAUUCCUGGUGUAGCGGUGAAAUGCGCAGAGUAUCAGGAGGAACACCGGUGGCGAAGGCGGGUCUCUGGGCCGAUACUGACGCUGAGGAGCGAAGCGUGGGGAGCGAACAGG
rnacentral:rRNA from 1 species